rnacentral:lncRNA from 1 species
ACUUCUUUGUUUUUGUUUACCUGAUUAUCUAAUGGAAAAAGAGUAAAGUGGUAGUCAUUUUAGUUUUUUUGUGUUUCUUCUUUUGGAUUCCAGUGUUUUAAUCCCUAAUAUUUGUCAGUACAUUCCAACUGAGGAAAACAAAGACUGCUAGACAUUAAAGAUAAAUAACUGCAGCCUUAAUGUGCAGGUUGUGUCACCCCACAUUUAUACCUGGAAUCUUGUCUUUGGAAUAUCUUUUUCAUUUCAGCACACUGAGUCUUUGGUCAAGAAAUCUUUAAAAAUAUCAGAACACUUAAAUCAUUUUCCUUUUUUUAAGGUAACUUCCAAGAUUAUAAUUAGUGUGGUUGCUGAUGAUUCUGAAUAAAAACAGCUUUUAUGCCAGAAAUGUGAAUCCCAGAUGGAUUGAAGGGGCUGUGCCACAGACAUUGUUGAAGCAUUUACACCCAGUCAUCUUGAAGAGUUUGAAAUGGACCUUACCACUGAGAAAUCAAGAUGGCAGCCCACUAUGGGGAAUUGAGGAAAAUGGAUUAAUGGAAGAGAAUGCUGUGAUCUUACACAACCAACACAGGGUUGUUUUAAUAUGGAUUCCAGGAAAUGAAUGA